AGAGGUCUCACGGGUUUGAAACGACAUGAGGGUGAGUUAUUAAUGACAUAAUUUUGAUUAUUGGGUGAACUAACCCUUUAAGACUGGUUUUGUGGUCCAUGGUCACAUUUAUGUAUGGUUCUUUAUGCUUAUUACAGUAUUGUUUGAUAAGUUUAGCAAAGACUAUUGAAUUAAUUUGAUAGGAAUUCUCAUGAUGUGCUUCGAAAUGCUCAGCAGGGGGAAAAAAUCCAAUCUAGUACAUAAAGGCAGAGUAUAGAGUAAACAGAGAAGGGCAGGUUUUGAAAGGGGAGCUGGACUCUUGCAUCACUCUCACACAUUGUCCCCUCGCUGACAGACAGACAGACCUCUAACAUGUACACAGCCAAAUUAAAUAUGACGGCUCCUUUGAGUAAACAAACUCUCUAGACGGGAAUGCCAUGAACGUCUGAAAUAAGUACGCAUGGUCCCUUCUCUGGGUUUGUCUUUUAAAUUAAAUGAAUUUUCCUGUUGUAUUUGAUGUUCACACUAGUGAUGCGCGGAUCAGAUUUUUUUUCAUAUGCUUUUUUUGUUUGUUUAGAUAAAUUGUUCAGAAGGGUUUGACCAAAACUGUUAAACUAGAUUAUUUUUAAAUCAUCCAAACACCUGAUUCAUUUCUAAUACUAUUAAAUUGUAAAGAAAUUACAGAUCCAGCUUUAAAAUCUGAUUGGUUGAAAACCGGUUUUGUGUGAGAUCAAGAAAAUCUGCGCGCGAACAGAGAGCUUUGCGCUCACGCAUUGUAUUAAUGUGCUUUCGUGCUAAAAUAAUGCAUGCAACAUACAUGGAUUUUUUUUUUUUAUGACCCGCCCCAACCCGCCCUGCAAAUAAAGUGACAAUUUCUUUCUUUAGCUCAUGGUCUGUAAAAAAAUUAAAAAAGACCUUUAAGUUCCUUUAAUAUAUAUAUGUUGAAAACUAAUAAAUAUAAUGUGACAUUUAAUGUAAUUUUGCAGUAAAAUUUUUGUUAAAAUUAAGUGAAAAUUAACAAGUCUUCUUAUAAUUUACAGUAAAAAAUUACAUAAUUUACAUUCCCAGUAAAUUCCCUGUUAGGCAUUUUUCUUUUCUUUGAUUUAUUAUUUUUAGAUAGUUCAUUUCAGUUAUAUAUAACAGUUUAUAUUGUUUACUGCAUUAUUUUAGUGUCAUGAUUUUAUAUUUGUGUGCACCUUCUAUAUUAGUCACCUCAGCUUGAGGAAUAGUUA
rnacentral:lncRNA from 1 species